AUGUUUUUCCGGUAAACGAUAAAACAACUGCAAGAUGGCAGAGAUCGGUCAGGACGAGCUGAAAAAGCUCGAAUAUUUGUCUUUGGUGUCUAAAGUUUGUACAGAAUUGGACACUCAUUUAAGAAUUAACGAUAAGGACCAUGCUGAAUUUGUAAUCAGUCUUGCUGAGAAAAA